CCCUCGCCGGAUGUACAGGAAGUGCAAAAUGCCACCACAUCAGGAGUUGUUCGAACUGUUGGGGGAGGCUUAGACACCUACAGUGCCCAGGUGCUCAUUGGGGAGAUAAUGUGCUGCAGGGCAGAAAUAGAGGACACAAACCUCGCCCUCGAGAAGAUCAUAAAGAACAACCGAAAGGUGGACUAAAACCUGAAGAAUCUAAUUAAUGUUCUGGGGAGGGUUUAAAAAAAUAAAUAAA